rnacentral:rRNA from 1 species
GAUGAACGCUGGCGGCGUGCCUAAUACAUGCAAGUCGAGCGAACAGACGAGGAGCUUGCUCCUCUGACGUUGGCGGCGGACGGGUGAGUAACACGUGGAUAACCUACCUAUAAGACUGGGAUAACUUCGGGAAACCGGAGCUAAUACCGGAUAAUAUAUUGAACCGCAUGGUUCAAUAGUGAAAGACGGUUUUGCUGUCACUUAUAGAUGGAUCCGCGCCGCAUUAGCUAGUUGGUAAGGUAACGGCUUACCAAGGCAACGAUGCGUAGCCGACCUGAGAGGGUGAUCGGCCACACUGGAACUGAGACACGGUCCAGACUCCUACGGGAGGCAGCAGUAGGGAAUCUUCCGCAAUGGGCGAAAGCCUGACGGAGCAACGCCGCGUGAGUGAUGAAGGUCUUCGGAUCGUAAAACUCUGUUAUUAGGGAAGAACAAAUGUGUAAGUAACUAUGCACGUCUUGACGGUACCUAAUCAGAAAGCCCCGGCUAACUACGUG